UACGGAGGGUGCAAGCGUUAUCCGGAUUCAUUGGGUUUAAAGGGUGCGUAGGCGGGGUGGUAAGUCAGUGGUGAAAUCCUGCAGCUCAACUGUAGAAUUGCCAUUGAUACUGCCAUUCUUGAGUGCGCUUGAAGUAGGCGGAAUGUGCCGUGUAGCGGUGAAAUGCUUAGAUAUGGCACAGAACACCAAUUGCGAAGGCAGCUUACUAAGGAGAUACUGACGCUGAGGCACGAAAGCGUGGGGAUCGAACAGG
rnacentral:rRNA from 1 species